rnacentral:rRNA from 1 species
AACGAACGCUGGCGGCGUGGAUUAGGCAUGCAAGUCGAACGGCGGUCUAGCUUUUUCGGACCGUAGUGGCGAAAGGGUGAGUAACACGUGGGUUACCUGCCCUAGGGAUCGGGAUAACCUGUCGAAAGACGGGCUAAUACCGGAUACGUUUCAUUAUUAAUAGUAAUGAAGGAAAGAUGGGGACCGUGGCGCAAGCCACGGCCUAUCACCCUUGGAUGGGCCCGCGGCCUAUCAGCUAGUUGGUNAGGAAUGGCUCACCAAGGCUAAGACGGGUAGCUGGUCUGAGAGGAUGGUCAGCCACACUGGGACUGAGACACUGCCCAGACUCCUACGGAGGCUGCAGUCGAGAAUCUUCGCAAUGGGGGAAACCCUGACGAAGCGACGCCGCGUGCAGGAUGAA